rnacentral:rRNA from 1 species
AUUGAACGCUGGCGGCAUGCUUUACACAUGCAAGUCGAACGGUAACAGGCCUUCGGGUGCUGACGAGUGGCGCACGGGUGCGUAAUGCAUCGGAACGUACCCAGAGGUGGGGGAUAACGCAGCGAAAGCUGUGCUAAUACUGCAUGUGAUCUGAGGAUGAAAGCGGGGGACCGAGCAGCAAUGUUUGGCCUCGCGCCUUUGGAGCGGCCGAUGUCGGAUUAGCUAGUUGGUGGGGUAAAGGCCUACCAAGGCGACGAUCCGUAGCUGGUCUGAGAGGACGACCAGCCACACUGGGACUGAGACACGGCCCAGACUCCUACGGGAGGCAGCAGUGGGGAAUUUUGGACAAUGGGCGCAAGCCUGAUCCAGCAAUGCCGCGUGCGGGAAGAAGGCCUUCGGGUUGUAAACCGCUUUUGGCAGGAACGAAACGGUGUCCGCUAAUACCGGGCGCUAAUGACGGUACCUGCAGAAUAAGCACCGGCUAACUACGUG